GUAAUAACAUUAACAAUAAAAACGCGGCUCCUAAUAAAAUGACUUAUACAAAUAUUGUAUCGAGCAAUGAAUUAUAACAUAAGAUCGGCUGUCGUGUGGUACGUAACUUAUCGCGCCGGGUAAAUGUGAAAUAUGGAUUGAAACGAAACAUAUAACGUCUUAUUACAGUUUGCGUAUUUCACGAUAAAGUUAUACUCUUGCCGCUUAAUCUAAUCAGCACUUUAGUCGACCAGAACGCUUUGUCAUUAUCGUCUAUCACGGUAACCAAUAAUUGCUAUAAUCAAUAGGAAAUUGCACGUAUGUCUUAAAUCUUCAACAUCUUGAUUGACGUAGCUCAAUCCACGACAUUCGAUUUCUGCGCCCACUUUACUAAACUUUUGAUCAUUGCCAAGAACUUUAUUUAUUGCAGUUUGAGAAAACAUCAGAAUAAAUCAAUUAAUUUGUAUCUAAAUAUUAAAAAUACUCUAAAUUGUUUUACAGUUUUCGAUAUUAUGGAUUGUUUCACAGGAUUUCGACAGUUUAACCGGUUUGAAUAAACUAACUUGAACAGUACUAAUAGAGAUUAGGCCAGUGCGUAGUUUCAAUUAUUUUUACAUUUAUUGAGGUCAAUUGAUAGUAACCAUUAGAUUAUUAUUUAAUAGCUGUUCGUCUAGUCUUUCAUACGCAAAUUAUUUGACAGUCAAUUAUUUGUUUAAAAAUUUUUAAAAAAAUUCUUGUUAAAGAAAUUUUUUUUCUCCAUGUUUAUUUAAAAUGUGUCUGAGCUGACAAUAAGUAAAUCUUAUACACAUAAAAGCACAUACGCAGACUAAGCUUAAUUGGCAAGUGCUAUCAUCUCACAGUGAAUGGCAUGAACUCAAUAUCCUCAAUAUAUUCCUUCAAUCGGAACUACGAAAUCAUUGGCUAAUUCCAAAGUUCUUUCGGUUCCAAUUUGCAUGCCGAUUUAUGUCGUGAAUAAUUAUUCAGGUGAUUUCGGAGGAUUUCAAACCGCUGGUGUUGUGCAGCCACUCCAAAAAGAAUUUCAAGAACUUUUUCGUAUUUGGCAACUACAGCUACGAUUUAUGCAAUGGUGUAUAGUUCAACAGAUUUUAUCAUAAUGGUUUAUCUUUGAAGAGCAACAAUAUCCAUAACAGGCGGUGUGACAACAAAUCCUUCAAUGCCUCGAAGAGAAGGUUUGGGAUGGUCAGAUGGCAAUGUGAAACGUAUUCUUUGCAAUAAACUUGCCAUAAAAAGGAAAACUGUAUUUUUCGCUAAAGUCUCGCCUAGACAUUUUCUUCGCCCUAUGUAAAAUAAAUGCAUAGCUAUUUUAUUGUAAUUCUUAUAUUAAAAUGAUUUUUCUGCCUCUUAA